rnacentral:rRNA from 1 species
CAGCGCCACGAGUGGUAACCGCGAUUAUUGGGCCUAAAGCGUCCGUAGCCGGUUCUGCAAAUCCUUUGUGAAAUUGUCUGGCUCAACCAUACAACGUGCAAGGGACACUACAGAACUCGAGACCGGGAGGAGUCAGAAGUAUUCCAGAGGGAGCGGUAAAAUGUUAUAAUCUCUGGAGGACUACCUGUGGCGAAGGCGUCUGACCAGAGCGGAUCUGACGGUGAGGGACGAAAGCUAGGGGAGCGAACCGGAUUAGAUACCCGAGUAGUCC